AGCGGAGCGUGUGGUUUAAUUCGAUUGCUACACGAAGAACCUUACCUGGGUUUGACAUAGAGGUAGUAGGGAAGCGAAAGCGACGACCUUCGGGAGCCUCUACAGGUGUUGCAUGGCUGUCGUCAGCUCGUGUCGUGAGAUGUUCGGUUAAGUCCGCUAACGAGCGCAACCCUCGCUGUGUGUUACAAGUGUCACACGGUACUGCCGAUAUUAAGUCGGAGGAAGGUGGGGAUGACGUCAAGUCAGCAUGACCUUUAUAUCCAGGGCUACACACACGCUACAAUGGCCAGUACAAUGGGUUGCCAAGCCGCGAGGCGGAGCCAAUCCUAAAAAGCUGGCCUCAGUUCAGAUUGCAGUCUGCAACUCGACUGCAUGAAGUUGGAGUUGCUAGUAACCGCAGGUCAGCAAUACUGCGGUGAAUACGUUCCCGGGGAUU
rnacentral:rRNA from 1 species